rnacentral:rRNA from 1 species
AGCAGCCGCGGUAAUUCCAGCUCCAAUAGCGUAUAUUAAAGUUGUUGCAGUUAAAAAGCUCGUAGUUGAAUUUCGGGAUCAGUAUGUUGGUCGUGCUUCGGUACGUACUGUCAUUACUGGUUUCUACCUUCUGAAGAACCUUGAUGUCAUUAAUUUGGUGUCUUGGGGAAUCAGGACUGUUACUUUGAAAAAAUUAGAGUGUUUAAAGCAAGCAUACGCUUGAAUACAUUAGCAUGGAAUAAUGAAAUAGGACGUUUGAUUCUAUUUUGUUGGUUUCUAGGAUCGACGUAAUGAUUAAUAGGGAUAGUUGGGGGCAUUAGUAUUCAAUUGUCAGAGGUGAAAUUCUUGGAUUUAUUGAAGACUAACUACUGCGAAAGCAUUUGCCAAGGAUGUUUUCAUUAAUCAAGAACGAAAGUUAGGGGAUCGAAGACGAUCAGAUACCGUCGUAGUCUUAACCAUAAACUAUGCCGACUAGGGAUCGGAU